GACGAACGCUGGCGGCGUGCUUAACACAUGCAAGUCGAACGGAAAGGCCCUGCUUUUGUGGGGUGCUCGAGUGGCGAACGGGUGAGUAACACGUGAGUAACCUGCCCUUGACUUUGGGAUAACUUCAGGAAACUGGGGCUAAUACAGGAUAGGAGCUCCUGCUGCAGGGUGGGGGUUGGAAAGUUUCGGCGGUUGGGGCUGGACUCGCGGCUUAUCAGCUUGUUGGUGGGGUAGUGGCUUACCAAGGCUUUGACGGGUAGCCGGCCUGAGAGGGUGACCGGCCACAUGGGGACUGAGAUACGGCCCAGACUCCUACGGGAGGCAGCAGUGGGGAAUAUUGCACAAUGGGCGGAAGCCUGAUGCAGCAACGCCGCGUGCGGGAUGACGGCCUUCGGGGUGUAAACCGCUUUCGCCUGUGACGAAGCGUGAGUGACGGUAAUGGGUAAAGAAGCACCGGCUAACUACGUG
rnacentral:rRNA from 1 species